AACGAACGCUGGCGGCAGGCUUAACACAUGCAAGUCGAACGCGUGUAGCAAUACACGAGUGGCGCACGGGUGAGUAACGCGUGGAUAUCUGCCUUUUGGUUCGGAAUAACCCCGGGAAACUGGGGCUAAUACCGGAUGGUUCCUUCGGGAUAAAGAUUUAUCGCCAAAAGAUGAGUCCGCGUCCGAUUAGCUAGUUGGUGAGGUAACGGCUCACCAAGGCGACGAUCGGUAGCUGGUCUGAGAGGACGAUCAGCCACACUGGGACUGAGACACGGCCCAGACUCCUACGGGAGGCAGCAGUGGGGAAUAUUGGACAAUGGGGGCAACCCUGAUCCAGCCAUGCCGCGUGAGUGAUGAAGGCCUUCGGGUUGUAAAGCUCUUUUGGCGGGAACGAUGAUGACGGUACCCGCAGAAUAAGCCCCGGAUAACUUCGUGCCAGCCGCCGCCGUAACAC
rnacentral:rRNA from 1 species